CUACCCAAUGCCGGAUGCUUCGAACUGGAAGUUUCUUCUUCGUGUAGCGUAUUGAUUGCAUUAGUCUGUCGCUGCUAAAUCAAUUAGCAGAAAGCUAGCGAUAAAACAGCCUUCUCGAGACACGACACUCCAAUAAUUAAAAUGCAUCCGUCGAUUAUUGAAGGAGACCAGGGGUUGGAGUACACAAGUGUGUCACCAUCCCACUUUGGCUGUCCCCUCUGCCCCAGCUUCACCACACGGAGUGCAGGAGUCAUCAAGAGGCACCUGGAAGCUCAUGUGACAAAUGCAGUGCAUUUCAUGGAAAUGAUGAUCUGCAGAUGCAAUCUCCACUGCAGAGAUGGAAGCCAUUUUCACUGCCCAUUUUGUUUAACCACAAUCAUCCGCAAAGACUCCAUAACAACACACCUCAAGGAGUGCCAAAAUAAGUCUGAAGUAUCGGUUCCACCCUCUCAACCGCCCUCACCAGAGGCCCACCCUCCUGCGGAUUUU